CUCUAAAAUGUCGCUAGAAAAAAACAAAAAGCUCUAGAUCUAGCUACAAAGUCGCUAAGUUGGCAACUCUGGCCAUAGCCAUUAAUGGUUCUGCUGCCUAUCUUGCCACUCCCAAGUCGACGCCACAUCCAGCAUUUACAAAUAAUAAGUGACUUGUGACAUUCGAGAUCGAGGCCACAUAAAUAUGUGAAAUAAGUUCAGCAGGAAGCUUAAUAGCCACCACCACCACAAUGGAUCAGUGGAGCGCUGCAUUUCUUAU